rnacentral:rRNA from 1 species
UACGUAGGGUGCGAGCGUUAAUCGGAAUUACUGGGCGUAAAGGGUGCGUAGGCGGUUAUUUAAGUCUGCCGUGAAAUCCCCGGGCUCAACCUGGGAAUGGCGGUGGAUACUGGAUAGCUAGAGUGUGUCAGAGGAUGGUGGAAUUCCCGGUGUAGCGGUGAAAUGCGUAGAGAUCGGGAGGAACAUCAGUGGCGAAGGCGGCCAUCUGGGACAACACUGACGCUGAAGCACGAAAGCGUGGGGAGCAAACAGG